CCAAUAGCGUAUAUUAAAGUUGUUGCAGUUAAAAAGCUCGUAGUUGAAUUUCGGAAUUCUUUUAUCGGUUGAAUCAACAGGUUCGUACUGAUUUUAAGAAUUUCUACCUUCUGGAGAACCUUAAUGUCAUUUAUUUGGUGUUUUGGGGAACCAGGACUGUUACCUUGAAAAAAUUAGAGUGUUUAAAGCAGGCUUAUGUCUGAAUAUAUUAGCAUGGAAUAAUGAAAUAGGACGGCAUGGUUCUAUUUUGUUGGUUUCUAGGAUCACCGUAAUGAUUAAUAGGGAUAGUUGGGGGCAUUAGUAUUCAAUUGUCAGAGGUGAAAUUCUUGGAUUUAUUGAAGACUAACGUCUGCGAAAGCAUUUGCCAAGGAUGUUUUCAUUAAUCAAGAACGAAAGUUAGGGGAUCGAAGACGAUCAGAUACCGUCGUAGUCUUAACCAUAAACUAUGCCGACUAGGGAUCGGAUGAUGUUAUUUUUUAAUGACUCAUUCGGCACCUUACG
rnacentral:misc_RNA from 1 species